rnacentral:tRNA from 1 species
AGUAAAGUGGCCGAAUAUAGGUAAAAGUUUGUAGCUCUUUUUAUGGUUUAACCCUUUACUA